rnacentral:lncRNA from 1 species
CUGUAGUUUUUGAACUCGAAGGUUAUUUGCCAUUUGUGUCACUGAUGUCGAGAGUUAAUGACGAUUUCGUUUCUAUCGGAUGUUACAAUUGGUUGGAGAUGGUCACAUGACAGUAAUUAGGAAAAUGGAACAAGUUAUAAAUAUGCGAAAACAUUUUACCAAUUUCAAAAAAGAAUUAUUGUUAGAAUUAAUAGAAAAAUAUAAAGAUGUGAUAGAAAAUAAAAAGACUAAUGCAAUGUCGAUAACACUAAGUUUCUGCGCAUGCAUUAACCCUGAGUUUCUCAAACAACCCAGCUACCAGCUAGGAUAGUUUGUUUGACUCGGAACGAAGUCGGUGAAUAUGAAUUUAGAUAUAACUCCUCAUAUAACUCUAA